AUGACCCCCUCCUCUGUCCAUAGUAUCCUCGCAAUUGCCAAGCCCCUGAACAUCCUCUGGCAGUCUCAUGGCUGCAAGAUCCCCGUAAGUGCAGUCUCUUCUAAAUGACAAUAUUGGUGGGACAACAAAUUGAUGGAAAUGUGUUCCUUUCGGAGCCCAGCUUUGCUCUCCAGGUGUGAUCCACUUGCCGACAAUCCAAUUCUUGCAAUUUCUGGCAGCCUGGUACUUGGUGACUUGGACAAGAUAGCUCUGGCAAUCUAAGGGAGCUUCCUUCUGAAUUUUAUGGAAUCUUUCGGUUGAUAGAGUAAGCAUAAGGACCCUUACUCUCCUUUGACAAAGAUAGAGGGCAAUCGCUCUUCCAAGUUUAGAAGUAGCUCCUGU
rnacentral:misc_RNA from 1 species